rnacentral:rRNA from 1 species
CCCAGACUCCUACGGGAGGCAGCAGUGAGGAAUAUUGGUCAAUGGCCGGAAGGCUGAACCAGCCAAGCCGCGUGAGGGAGGAAGGCGCAGAGCGUCGCAGACCUCUUUUGCCGGGGGACAAAAGGCCGGACUCGUCCGGUCCUGAGGGUACCCGGAGAAAAAGCAUCGGCUAACUCCGUGCCAGCAGCCGCGGUAAUACGUAGGGGGCAAGCGUUAUCCGGAUUUACUGGGUGUAAAGGGGGCGCAGACGGCGAUGCAAGCCAGGAGUGAAAGCCCGGGGCCCAACCCCGGGACUGCUCUUGGAACUGCGUGGCUGGAGUGCAGGAGGGGCAGGCGGAAUUCCUGGUGUAGCGGUGAAAUGCGUAGAUAUCAGGAGGAACACCGGUGGCGAAGGCGGCCUGCUGGACUGCAACUGACGUUGAGGCCCGAAAGCGUGGGGAGCAAACAGGAUUAGAUACCCCAGUA